GAUGAACGCUGGCGGCGUGCCUAAUACAUGCAAGUCGAGCGAACAGAUGAGGAGCUUGCUCCUCUGACGUUAGCGGCGGACGGGUGAGUAACACGUGGAUAACCUACCUAUAAGACUGGGAUAAUUUCGGGAAACCGGAGCUAAUACCGGAUAAUAUAUCGAACCGCAUGGUUCAAUAGUGAAAGACGGCUUUGCUGUCACUUAUAGAUGGAUCCGCGCCGCAUUAGCUAGUUGGUAAGGUAACGGCUUACCAAGGCGACGAUGCGUAGCCGACCUGAGAGGGUGAUCAGCCACACUGGAACUGAGACACGGUCCAGACUCCUACGGGAGGCAGCAGUAGGGAAUCUUCCACAAUGGGCGAAAGCCUGACGGAGCAACGCCGCGUGAGUGAUGAAGGUCUUCGGAUCGUAAAGCUCUGUUAUUAGGGAAGAACAAAUGUGUAAGUAACUAUGCACGUCUUGACGGUACCUAAUCAAAAAGCCACGGCUAACUACGUG
rnacentral:rRNA from 1 species